GUUUUAAUAGUUUAAUAAAAACAUUGGUCUUGUAAAUCAAAAAUAAUAUUGUAUUUUAAAACU
rnacentral:tRNA from 1 species